UUUUAUUACAACUUUACUUGAAAAGUAAAACAAGAAUUCCACAAAAAAGACAAUAUAAACAGUCAUAUCUUGAUUUAAGUGCACAAAAUCCAAAGCAUGUAGCAGUCUCAAUAACUGAGACACCUUAAGCCUGUAUUGAUUUUUUUUUCUAAAAUUUCAGUGUAUCCUGGCUAAUGAUAAAGCUCAGUUUCUGUGAAAUUAUAUGAAGAGAUUUCUCUGAUAAUACUCUGCCAACUUCCUGGAGAGAAACAAGCUGGAGGUGACAAGUGCCAAUACACUGCGGCAUAAGUAGAGCUUACCUUACAUCUUGGCAUUUCAGUUUUCAACAGUAAGAGAAGCAGUCAGUCAUUUCAACGUCAGUCAGGUGGAUAUAGAGUGACUUCGUGGAAAGUAACAAAUUCAUUAAAUACCUUGAUAGCUCUUCUAGAAGCUUUUUCUGAAACAGUUCCAGGAUACAUGUGUAGAAGAAGAAUGGUUGGGGUCCGGCACGUCUGCCAGGGGGCUUCCGACCCGCGGGAGUCCCCGAGACCACCAACAUAG
rnacentral:lncRNA from 13 species